AAGGAAACAUAAAAUCAUCAUCUUCAGUUUUGAAAGACUUAGUUAAGUUUUUCUCAUUUAUUUUAUUUUUUGAUAUCCUGGGCCUAUAGCUCAGUUGGUUAGAGCACACGCCUGAUAAGCGUGAGGUCGGUGGUUCAAGUCCAUUUAGGCCCACCAAACGUUUUUACAAAAAAACGUGUUAUCAAAAAAAAGUUCUUUGAAAAGUAGAUAAACAAGAAAAUAAUAGCCAUUUUU
rnacentral:misc_RNA from 1 species